rnacentral:pre_miRNA from 1 species
AGUGGGAUUGCUCUGUCAAAUGGUUCCAUUCCAAUUUUUUCAAGGAAUCUCCAUACUGCUUUCCAGAUUGGCUGCACCAAUUUGAAGUCCCACCAGCAUU